rnacentral:rRNA from 1 species
CCUACGGGAGGCAGCAGUGGGGAAUAUUGCACAAUGGGCGGAAGCCUGAUGCAGCGACGCCGCGUGAGGGAUGACGGCCUUCGGGUUGUAAACCUCUUUCAGUAGGGAAGAAGCGUAAGUGACGGUACCUGCAGAAGAAGCGCCGGCUAACUACGUGCCAGCAGCCGCGGUAAUACGUAGGGCGCAAGCGUUAUCCGGAAUUAUUGGGCGUAAAGAGCUCGUAGGCGGUUUGUCGCGUCUGCCGUGAAAGUCCGGGGCUCAACUCCGGAUCUGCGGUGGGUACGGGCAGACUAGAGUGAUGUAGGGGAGACUGGAAUUCCUGGUGUAGCGGUGAAAUGCGCAGAUAUCAGGAGGAACACCGAUGGCGAAGGCAGGUCUCUGGGCAUUAACUGACGCUGAGGAGCGAAAGCAUGGGGAGCGAACAGGAUUAGAUACCCUGGUAGUCCAUGCCGUAAACGUUGGGCACUAGGUGUGGGGGACAUUCCACGUUUUCCGCGCCGUAGCUAACGCAUUAAGUGCCCCGCCUGGGGNGACGCGCGAGACGAACACAANAGAGUAGACGCGNGAGACGNGCGACGACGACGACGAGGGAGAG